UGGCUCUCGCAUCGAUGAAGAACGCAGCGAAAUGCGAUAAGUAAUGUGAAUUGCAGAAUUCAGCGAAUCAUCGAAUCUUUGAACGCACCUUGCGCCCUUUGGCUAUUCCGAAGGGCAUGCCUGUUUGAGUAUCAUGAACACCUCAUGAACGUUUGAUCUCAAAUCAGGUGGGACUACCCGCUGA
rnacentral:misc_RNA from 1 species